rnacentral:ncRNA from 1 species
ACUGAUUAUAUAUCAGCACAGCACUCUGCAAAGACGAAAGUCGACGUAUAGGGUGUGACGCCUGCCCGGUGCUGGAAGAUUAAAUGAUGGGGUGCAAGCUCUUGACUGAAGUCCCAGUAAACGGCGGCCGUAACUAUAACGGUCCUAAGGUAGCGAAAUUCCUUGUCGGGUAAGUUCCGACCUGCACGAAUGGCGUAA